AAUCUUCCGCAAUGGACGAAAGUCUGACGGAGCAACGCCGCGUGAGCGAUGAAGGCCUUCGGGUCGUAAAGCUCUGUUGUCAGGGAAGAACAAGUACCGGAGUAACUGCCGGUACCUUGACGGUACCUGACCAGAAAGCCACGGCUAACUACGUGCCAGCAGCCGCGGUAAUACGUAGGUGGCAAGCGUUGUCCGGAAUUAUUGGGCGUAAAGCGCGCGCAGGCGGUUCCUUAAGUCUGAUGUGAAAGCCCCCGGCUCAACCGGGGAGGGUCAUUGGAAACUGGGGAACUUGAGUGCAGAAGAGGAGAGCGGAAUUCCACGUGUAGCGGUGAAAUGCGUAGAGAUGUGGAGGAACACCAGUGGCGAAGGCGGCUCUCUGGUCUGUAACUGACGCUGAGGCGCGAAAGCGUGGGGAGCGAACAGGAUUAGAUACCCUGGUAGUCCACGCCGUAAACGAUGAGUGCUAAGUGUUAGAGGGUUUCCGCCCUUUAGUGCUGCAGCAAACGCAUUAAGCACUCCGCCCGGGGGAGUACGGCCGCAAGGCUGAAACUCAAAGGAAUUGACGGGGGCCCGCACAAGCGGUGGAACAUGGGGGUUUAAUUCGAAGCAACGCGAAGAACCUUACCAGGUCUUGACAUCCUCUGACAACCCUAGAGAUAGGGCUUUCCCCUUCGGGGGACAGAGUGACAGGUGGUGCAUGGUUGUCGUCAGCUCGUGUCGUGAGAUGUUGGGUUAAGUCCCGCAACGAGCGCAACCCUUGAUCUUAGUUGCCAGCAUUAAGUUGGGCACUCUAAGGUGACUGCCGGUGACAACCGGAGGAAGGUGGGGAUGACGUCCAAUCAUCAUGCCCCUUAUAACCUGGGCUAC
rnacentral:rRNA from 1 species